CCUACGGGAGGCAGCAGUCGGGAAUUUUGGGCAAUGGGCGCAAGCCUGACCCAGCAACGCCGCGUGAAGGAUGAAAUCCCUCGGGAUGUAAACUUCGCAAGAACGGGAAGAAUAAGUGGGGGUUAAUAUCUCUCACGAUGACGGUACUGUUUGUAAGCUCCGGCUAACUCCGUGCCAGCAGCCGCGGUAAUACGGGGGGAGCAAGCGUUGUUCGGAUUUACUGGGCGUAAAGGGCGCGUAGGCGGCCACCGCAAGUCGAUUGUGAAAUCUCCGGGCUUAACCCGGAAAGGUCAACCGAUACUGCGGGGCUAGAGUGCAGAAGGGGCAACUGGAAUUCUCGGUGUAGCGGUGAAAUGCGUAGAUAUCGAGAGGAACACCUGCGGCGAAGGCGGGUUGCUGGGCUGACACUGACGCUGAGGCGCGAAAGCUAGGGGAGCGAACGGGAUUAGAUACCCCGGUAGUCCUAGCCUUAAACGAUGAAUGCUUGGUGUCUGGGGUUUUAUAGUCCCCGGGUGCCGUCGCUAACGCUUUAAGCAUUCCGCCUGGGGAGUACGGUCGCAAGACUGAAACUCAAAGGAAUUGACGG
rnacentral:rRNA from 1 species